rnacentral:lncRNA from 1 species
GGGACUUUCCGUACCUCACCCUGGAGAUCAAGGAGCAAAGCUGCCCAUGUGAGGGAGUGAGGAAAAGGAACACCAAGGAGCAAAGCCCUGAAGCGGCAAAGAGUUUCCAGAACAAUCUGUGAAUGACUCUCCACCGCCCUCUUCAGGCAAGAGUUUAGCACAGUGCUAGCUGACAAAGGAAAAUACGUGAAGGGACCAGCUCCGUUUUUUGCAUAUCAGUUCUCAAAGAACCAGGAUGUCUUCAGCUGAUGUACUCUUCCCCUUGAGUGUCACAGCAUCAGGGAACCACUGAGGCCUCAGCUGUGACCAGACGCAAAAUGGAGUUGUUUCCACACGCCAUAGUCGGCUCUCGGGCAAGGAAACACUGGGCCUUAGACAGUGCCCCUCUGCCCUGACACCCUGCCCUGGGGCCAGCCGACUAUGGACUGAAAGCCCUACAAACGAAACCGACAUCGCAAGAGGAUGGAUUGCCCAAAAUCACAUGGAUGCUGAGAUCCCGUAUUGGGGCCCGUUGCCUCUUGCUCCCUGAACUGUAGUUCCCCUGAAACUUAGCACCAGUUGGGCAACAGCGGGUACUGGCACCUGCCCUGCGGACUGGGCCCUGAACGACCACGAGCACGCGUCGGCGCAGACCUCGGACCCGGAC